ensembl:lncRNA
CCGACCACUCCUUGUCAAUUACCCCAACAGGAAAGACUCCCUCGCAUCUCCAACUAGAAGGGUUCUCUGCUUUACAGGAGGAAGGAACAUUUUCUACUCGUUGCGCAACAAGCUCAGCCACUGGAAACUGCAGCAGCUCCGCCAAUGAGGAGCCACUGCCGCCCUGAACUCUCACUCUCCUCCGAUGAUCUUUCACUUAGGACAACCCCUCUGAACUUCCCUUUUUCUCUACAAAGGCAAGCUGGGGCCCCACUUUUGUUCCCUGGAUUUGCCUAUGGUCCGUCAUAACUUGCAUUUCCUGAGUUGCAAUUCCUCUGGCUAUGCCCGAAUAAACUGAGGGAGUUGGUGUUAAGAUGGCAGCAUAGGCGGACUCUGAACUCACCUCCUCCCGCGGACACAACCAAUUUACAACUUCUCUUGGAACAAUUACCCCCGAGAGAGAACCCAAUAAACUAAUUUUGCUGUUAAGAUAACUGGCAAUUUUUUAAAAAGUUGACAGUACCGGUGUAACCGUUAACCCGGGUCCUAGAUAAAAGGCCCGAGAGCCAGGCUCCAGCCUGAGUGAGCCUUCCAUCCUCUAGGAACUGGAUGAGAGUUUGUCACUAACUUCGGCCACUUGGACGAGAGGAAGAUGACUACACGGCAUCCAAAGGAGAGCGCUGGAGUUGAGGAUAACUGGCUUAACUGAGACUUCGGGAGACCGCUUUGCCUUCCUAGACUGUUUCUCCCGCAAGUAAAAUGGCGAUGACCACAGGGGUGCGCGGGCAGCAGGAAGCCAAACUUAGAUGGCGCUCACGGAUGGUGGUCCUGACUUCUUGGAAACAGGAUGGGCGUUUACAAGUCAGGUUCGGAAAAGUCACCCCAGGCAGCAGAAAUCCAUCUUGAGAUGAAAUACCUUCUACCUGGCCCUCUGGCAGAAUUUCAAGGCAAACGCUGGGCUGGCUCUGGGGCCAUGACAUUGCCUGAUCUUCUGCCUGGGGAGAGCAGGACCGGGAGGAGAUUUUGCCUUUGGAGAACAGGGAAGAUAUGGAAAGCAUGAAGAAAUUGACUCAGAAUCCUAAGGCCAAAGAUACCAGUUACAUUAAGGAAUGUGGCAGUAGUCUUCAUGGAGGCAAAUGGAAGAGACUGAGCUCUGAGCAGAGGAACCUAUACAAAGAAGUGAUGCUGGAGAAUUACCGGAAUUUGCUCUUGUCGGCAGAACCAAAGCCAGAAAUCUACCCCUGUUCCUGCUGGCAUUCUCUUGUCAGCAAUUCCUCAGCCAGCAUGUGCUUCAGAUCUUCCCUGGCUCAUGUGUGGAAAAUCACUUCCAUCCAGAGGAUUCUGGCCCGGAGCCUCAGGAGCAGCAUUAUUCUGCUCAGAGUUGCUGGAGUGAAUACACGGAAGGGCAAGAGAGGGAAGGUGGCUCCAAAGCCUUGUGUGCGGGGACAGAGGAGAGAAAGACCUCAAGCUCAUUCUCUGGCCCCCCCCAAGGACCGUCCGCAAGUCCUAGAGAAGUCACCACAGUGGUAGAAAUAGAGUCCAGUUCAGCCCAAAGAGUAAACCCUGUGCAACCAGACAAAGAAUUGAAGGAAUCAGAAAUCUUGAGAUCUGGAGCAGCCAACUGUAGAGAGCAUGAACGAGACUGUAGCCCGAAAUCAAACUUCGUUACCGACCAGAUGACCCCCUUCAAGGAGAAACCCUGUUUGCAGGGAGCGUGGGUGAGGCUGUAAAGAUAAGGCAGCCCUCAUCAGAUACCACUGGACACAGUUGGUGGAGAAGCCCUAUGUGUGCAGUGACUGUGGCCAAGGCUUCAGCCUGAUGUCAGUCCUUAUUAACCCCCAGGGGACACACUCAGGGGAGAAGCCAUAUGUGUGCAAGGAGUGUGAGCAAAGCCUUAGUCAGAAGUCCAACCUCAACACAUGAGAAAAACAGAUUCAGAAAAGUCUUAUUUGUGCAAGGAGUGUGGGCGAGGCUUUAGCCAGAAGUCAGACCUUAUCAAACACGAGAGGAUACACUCAGACUAGAAGCCCUAUAUUUGCAGGGAGUGUGGGAGAGGCUCUUGUGAUCUUGAGAUUCUUGUGAGAAGGCGAGUCAGCCUUCUUCACAUGCCACAGGGAGAAUCCUUCUGUGGGAUACUGUGGAACUCUGCCCAGUUAACCUUAUCAGGGCCAGCGCCCACGCCGCUCCAGAUAACUGCUGCUGAUGGCUGCAGAGCUGACUUCCUCACUAGGACUCGUUCUCAGCCACGGGGAACUGCACCUUCCCAAGGGCUGGCUGGCUCCUUGCCAAUGAAUGAGUGAUACGGUUAGACAAAACUCCCCUUGACUCAGUUGGGACAACUCCCAAGGUUCAUCCCAGAUCCAGAGGUGCCUGUUGGACUGAAGGAUCUCUCAUUUGCAAAUACAUUGCAGGUCAGCUUCUUCCUCUGCCCAGCCCUGCCCUCAUUCCCCAAUAAACCACUCAAUUCUUCAUCUCACUGUCUCUCCAGGGAAUCCAACCUAAGACAUCUUAAGUUGACAGGGAGUGUGGACAAGGCUUUGGCUAUAAGUCACCCCUCAACAAACCCCAGAGUACACAGCAUAGAAGCUCUGUGUGUGUGUGUGUGGAGAACGGGCAAGGCCUUAGGAAAAGCACACCUCAGUGUACAUCAGAGAACAGGUUUUUUGGGAGGAAGGGAGGGAGACUGUGAGAUGCGUUAGUCAUGCCUCAUCUUGCACCAGAGGACAUACUCAGGUGAGUAGACCCGUGGGGCAAGGUGUGUGGGUGGAGCUUUAUCCUGAUGGCCCCCUCAACAGAUGAAGAGGACAGAGUCUUGCCACCACAAACCACUACCUCAUGCACCUCUGAGGGGGUUUCAGAAGUCUUGACCACCCCCAUACUCUGUAUGAGUGUGAAAAUGGCACUAAUGACUAAAUAGACAUGCUUUUCACUUUUUGUAAUCAGAUGGAAUAAAAAAGUAGAAAGCUUUAUUUAAGUAAUCUAAGAGUGAUCAACUUGUUUUAUUUUCAUACACCAGUUCUUUCCCAUGUUUUCUUGUCCUUUGUUCUAGUAAAAUCUUUACUGAGCUAAGGCUUUGUAUCUUAGUCUCUCAUUUGUCUGGAAAGGAAUUCACAUUCACAACCCAGAUUUCCUCCAUUAAUUCAACUUUUAAGAAAAAAUAAGUCUCAAAUCAAUCUAACAGGUUUGCUGGGCAUCGGAGCCUUUGCAUGAGGAGGAUGAUUUAAGUUCUGGAGACAGGCCAGCUGAAGGGAGGGAACUUCCCAGGUCUCCAGGGGCUGGGUUGCCUCUUCUCCUACCUGAUCCCUCCCUUUGACUUCUGUGCAAGCUCCCUUCCCUGGGUUUUCUCCUUCAUUCUUAUCUCUUUCAGAUCUCUGCUGAAUCCUCGACCCCAUCAAGCAUUGCUGUUCCUCAGUGGUCUGUUCACGUCCUCCAGCUCCAGGGACCCUUUAAGCAUGCUCCCUCUGCAGCCUUCCAGAUUCCAGGGUCAGGUCCUUUAGCCAGGCCCAAACUGUUAUCCAUCAUGAAUCAUGGCUCUGGGCCCCUUAGCUACUCCCCACGUCAGGUCAUAGGUCUAAAGAUCCCUGAACACAGCUCCAAUGCUGUGCCCCCUCAGCCCGCCAACCCGAGGGUCCAGUCCUGCUAAUGACACCUCCCAUCAUCCCUCUACUAACUGGUCCGAGACAGCCCAGCCGUACUGCGGCCAUUGUUUCUGAGCCCAAGGACCUGGCCCUUUAGCCACACCCAUACCUAGUCCUGCUCCCUCAGAGCCCAAUUUGCCCAGAUUUUAGACAGCUCCGCAGGCCCAGGCUCUGACUUCUACGUCCUGGGCCAGUAACUGUUUACUGGAGAGGGUCUGCCUAGGCUCUAGCAAAUUGGUUUGCCAAUUGGCCAGAUUCAUGAAAUGGACAUCAGGCUUUGAAAAUCAGAAAAAGUGCGAAGUGGUUUUGACACCCCAGCAGAGGAGGGGGCAGUAGAAGAGGGUCUGAAGGCGUCACUGACUCCAAGGUCUCUACUCACUCCCUCAGCCGUGAAGUCAGCUUUCCAGUGGGUCCUGAGUCAGCUCUGGCGAGGGCAGGUGUGAGCCCCAAGUGUGGGCCCCGCCCUUGCUCCCGUCUCCCCUCGUGCUCCUUCGCCAGAGCUACCCCUGUGACACCAACGCUUUGCUUCUGGUCUGAACUGGAAGCCAGAGAGGGACAGGUGUAUGUGGGUAGGCCCUCUACAUUCCGGAUGACCCCAAGGCCUUGCCCAUGCCUGCCAUUGGGAGAGAAAAUGCAAACAAGAAAACCAGCACCUUCCUUUGGAAAAACGGAUUUUCUGCUGAAUAUAUUGGCACGGAAAUUAUCUGGCGGUUGAAGAUCUGGAAGAGACAGUGCAGGGAAUCUGAGAAAACGUAAGAGAAAGAGAUGGUGUGAUGGCCAGCACUGAGACUGGGAUAAAUUUGGGAAGCAGGAAGUGUUGCAAUUGCCCGGGCAAAAUUUACAGCACAACUAUGGCAAGAGUGUGGACUGAAAGAGAAGAUGGACUCUGUAGGGUUUGUCUUCAAAGCACUUGGUGGUUGCCUGGAUGCAGAAGAUAAGGGAGAAUUUAAAAGGACUCCCACAAACACAGCUUUCUAACAGUAGAAACAUUUGCAAAGGAGAAAAAGUUCUCAUCACUCCAAGAAUCCAAGUGGAAAGCCAACAUCAUCCUAUCUGUGUUUACCAUAAGAAUAUUUCCUUCUCUAGAGGUAGGUUGAGCUGGCUAUCCUCUUUCCGCAUCUGAGUCUUGCAUGUGCUGACCCGUGUGGUAGAAUAUAUUUGUGUGUAUGUGGGAUGGUGCCACUUAUCAGCAUAUUGUCUCAGCUCCAAAUUCACCUUUUGUUGCCUAUUUGUGAAAAUGGACCUGGGCCCUUUAAAUAUUUGCCCGGUGGUGUGAGAUUCAUCAGUAGCGAGCUCUGGAGCCACGUGACAGGAGGAAGGGGUCCUCUUUCCUGGUUCAGGUGGCUCUUUCACUAGGCUCCUCAGCCAGCGCAGUUUUCUCCCAUGCUAAAUGCCUGCAGGACACAGCUUUCUCCACUGAUUGGCACCCUAUAUUUUCUCCAGCUGUCCACCCGGGCACUGGUGGCUUAGUCGGGAGCGCAAACAGUACAAGCCUGUGCCCCAGCCCAGCUCACUGCUCCUGCACCCUCUCUUCAGCCCCACGGGCAUACACCCUGGGGCCCCACUGGACUGGCUCUCUGGCAAGCAGAUCACCUGGCCUUCAUCCCCGGCAGAGGCUCAGAGCCUCCCAGCCUGGUUGCUUUCUCCUUGGCUCUCUGUGCAUGCACACCAGGGCCCCAGCAGCCACUCUGAGCUGCCCCAGUCCAGGCCGUGCACAGAAGUACACUAGGUUCUUGCAGCUUCUCAGCCUCCUUUCCAGCAGCGCCUCCAGCAGUGCCUUGACCUCCUCUGCUCACUUGCCCUUCAGUCUCAGCUCGCUUGUCCCCCCAGAGGUUUAUUUGCUGCGGCCCUCCAGACACAGGCACUGUGUGGUCCAGGCUUUGUGUCAGCAUCAACACCCUGGCCCUCUGUGCCCAUCCAGCUCCCUCUGUGCACCUGGCUACCAGCUUUGGUUGCCUGCACUCCAGAGGGUUAUUCCUGCUUGCUGGUGAUGGUAGACCUGCUCUGGCCCGUGCAAAUCCCCCUUACCCUGACUUUUCCACCAUCCAGUGGGCUGUAGCAACUUCUCCAGUGAGGGCUGAACCCCAGCCUUGGGGAGGGAACCUUCCAGCUUUAUACUUCCUUAGCACUCUCCCUCAGCUGAGGGUUUCAUUCGAUAUUUACAGUUGCUCCCCUAUCAUUGCAUAAUAAUUCUUUAUGUUAAAUUUCCCAUUUAAAUUACUGUCUGGUUUCUGUCUCCUCAUUGGACCCAGAUUGACAGAGAUGUGAAUGUGCAUGUGUGCAGUUUUUAUUUGAAGGCAAAGAGGUGAAUUUUUGACUGCAUCUAUUCAGUGAACACAGCAAUAAGCCAAAAGAAACAAUGCAAGUCAAAGUUAUUAUCAGCACCAGCUGGGGCUAUGGCCCUGAACCCAGACCCAGAAAUAUGAUGGUCUACAUCUGGGAAUGGCAAACUACAGAUCUGUCCUGCCACCUCUUUUUGUAUGGCCUGUGAACUAAGUAUAGUUUUUACAUUUUAAAUGGUUGAAAAGAAUGAAAAGAAUAAUAUUUUGUGAUACAUUUGUGUUCAUAAAUAAAGUUAUAUUUGUAACACAGCCACACAUUUGUUAGUAUUGCCUAUAGUUGCUUUCAUCCUACUUACAGGGAUUGAGUUAAGUAAUUGUGAUGGAGACCAUAUGGCUCACAAACCCAAAAUACUAUCUGACCUUGAGCAGAAAAAGUUUGCCAAUCCCCAAUCUAGACUGAACCUUGAGAACACUUUAGCAAACAAAAGGCCAAAUGAACAGCCGAUUUAACUCCCAGCUCUGGCAUUCAUGACCCCCCCUUUUUUUGUUUUUAG